rnacentral:rRNA from 1 species
GGCUUAACACAUGCAAGUCGAGCGGAAACGAUGAUAGCUUGCUAUCAGGCGUCGAGCGGCGGACGGGUGAGUAAUACUUAGGAAUCUACCUAGUAGUGGGGGAUAGCUCGGGGAAACUCGAAUUAAUACCGCAUACGUCCUACGGGAGAAAGCAGGGGAUCUUUGGACCUUGCGCUAUUAGAUGAGCCUAAGUCGGAUUAGCUAGAUGGUGGGGUAAAGGCCUACCAUGGCGACGAUCUGUAGCUGGUCUGAGAGGAUGAUCAGCCACACCGGGACUGAGACACGGCCCGGACUCCUACGGGAGGCAGCAGUGGGGAAUAUUGGACAAUGGGGGGAACCCUGAUCCAGCCAUGCCGCGUGUGUGAAGAAGGCCUUUUGGUUGUAAAGCACUUUAAGCAGUGAAGAAGACUCUUCGGUUAAUACCCGGGGACGAUGACAUUAGCUGCAGAAUAAGCACCGGCUAACUCUGUGCCAGCAGCCGCGGUAAUACAGAGGGUGCAAGCGUUAAUCGGAAUUACUGGGCGUAAAGCGAGCGUAGGUGGCUUGAUAAGUCAGAUGUGAAAUCCCCGGGCUUAACCUGGGAACUGCAUCUGAAACUGUUAGGCUAGAGUAGGUGAGAGGGAAGUAGAAUUUCAGGUGUAGCGGUGAAAUGCGUAGAGAUCUGAAGGAAUACCGAUGGCGAAGGCAGCUUCCUGGCAUCAUACUGACACUGAGGCUCGAAAGCGUGGGUAGCAAACAGGAUUAGAUACCCUGGUAGUCCACGCCGUAAACGAUGUCUACUAGUCGUUGGGUCCCUUGAGGACUUAGUGACGCAGCUAACGCAAUAAGUAGACCGCCUGGGGAGUACGGCCGCAAGGUUAAAACUCAAAUGAAUUGACGGG